rnacentral:rRNA from 1 species
GGCGAACGCUGGCGGCGUGCUUAACACAUGCAAGUCGAACGGUGAAGCGCCUUCCUUUUUGGUGGGUGUGGAUGAGUGGCGAACGGGUGAGUAACACGUGAGUAACCUGCCCCCUUCUUCUGGAUAACCGCAUGAAAGUGUUGCUAAUACGGGAUAUUCUGGGUCUGUCGCAUGAUGGGUCUGGGAAAGAUAUUGUUUCGGUGGGGGAUGGGCUCGCGGCCUAUCAGCUUGUUGGUGGGGUGAUGGCCUACCAAGGCGGUGACGGGUAGCCGGCCUGAGAGGGUGGACGGUCACACUGGGACUGCGACACGGCCCAGACUCCUACGGGAGGCAGCAGUGGGGAAUAUUGCACAAUGGGCGCAAGCCUGAUGCAGCGACGCCGCGUGAGGGAUGGAGGCCUUCGGGUUGUGAACCUCUUUCGCCAGUGAAGCAGGCCUGCCUCGUUUGUGGGUGGGUUGACGGUAGCUGGAUAAGAAGCGCCGGCUAACUACGUG